CGCUGGCUUUGCUUUGGCCGUCUAGGCGAUCAGAAUACAGCUCCUUGGGCCUACCUGUGUGUAAAGCUUCCUUUUGUUCUCACAUGGAGGGGUGACUGACAGGGAAGUCACAGAAGAAACAAGUGCGGCAUCAGUAAGGACCGUCGUGACUAUGCUCUUUGAGUCUAACUGGAGGAAUGUAAAUCUGAGUCAAGUAGAUGUGUACCUAUGCCCUGCUGGGAACUUCAGAACAAUAUGUAAUCCACUGGAUGCAGGGAGUUCAAAGUGGAGCACUGAGAGCUUGUGAUGGGGAAGCUUUUAUUACAGUUUUCACAUUAGAUAGGUGGAUCUGCAAUGUAAGAAGUAUGAAAGUGCUGACAAUGUAAGAAGUAUGAAAGUGCUGACAUAAUUACAAUCCCAUCAUAAUUAUCUUAUUCCUGGCUUCAACAGGGACACAAAAUUUGUGUCUAUUGCUAUCUUGGGACCAGUGGAGGACCUUUAAACCUACUGAGAGGGAUCAAAGAGAUCUAACAGGUCUGUGGGGAAAAACCAGAGCAACACUACAUCUCCUGAGACACAAUAUGGUUCUAGUGUCUUUAAAAUUCAAUAAAAAUGGUAAUUAAUCACA